rnacentral:rRNA from 1 species
CAGUAGCCGCGGUAAUACGUAGGGUGCGAGCGUUAAUCGGAAUUACUGGGCGUAAAGCGUGCGCAGGCGGUUGUGUAAGACAGGUGUGAAGUCCCCGGGCUUAACCUGGGAACUGCGCUUGUGACUGCACAGCUAGAGUAUGGCAGAGGGGGGUGGAAUUCCACGUGUAGCAGUGAAAUGCGUAGAGAUCGGAAAGAACACCAACGGCGAAAGCACUCUGCUGGGCCGACACUGACACUGAGAGACGAAAGCUAGGGGAGCAAAUGGGAUUAGAUACCCCCGUAGUCCCUGUCUCUUAUAC